GACAGAGGGUGCAAACGUUGUUCGGAAUUACUGGGCGUAAAGCGUGUGUAGGCGGUCCACUAAGUCGGGCGUGAAAGCCCUGGGCUCAACCCAGGAAGUGCACUCGAAACUGGCGGGCUAGAGUAUCGGAGAGGUUGGUGGAAUUCUCGGUGUAGAGGUGAAAUUCGUAGAUAUCGAGAGGAACACCGGUGGCGAAGGCGGCCAACUGGACGAAUACUGACGCUGAGACACGAAAGCGUGGGGAGCAAACAGG
rnacentral:rRNA from 1 species